CCUACGUGUGGCAGCAGUGGGGAAUAUUGCGCAAUGGGCGAAAGCCUGACGCAGCGACGCCGCGUGAGGGAUGAAGGUCUUCGGAUCGUAAACCUCUGUCAGCAGGGAAGAACGGUCACUGUGCUAAUCAGCAGUGAAUUGACGGUACCUGCAAAGGAAGCACCGGCUAACUCCGUGCCAGCAGCCGCGGUAAUACGGAGGGUGCGAGCGUUAAUCGGAAUUACUGGGCGUACAGCGCUCGUAGGCGGUAUGGCAAGUCAAGGGUGAAAUCCCCGCGCUCAACGUGGGAACUGCGUUUGAAACGGGCAAACUGGAGUGUGUGAGAGGAUAGUGGAAUUCCAGGUGUAGGAGUGAAAUCCGUAGAUAUCUGGAGGAACAUCAGUGGCGAAGGCGACUAUCUGGCACAUAACUGACGCUGAGGAGCGAAAGCGUGGGUAGCAAACAGGAUUAGAUACCCCAGUAGUC
rnacentral:rRNA from 1 species